UGCAUCAGUGCCUCCUGUUGACUUGGAUAUCCUGAGUUUCAAUUUAAGAGUGUCCGGUAACUUUACAGAAACAUCCAUUCUAGGUUAUUUCUAUCACGUGAGCAUGAGUCAGGCAGGGGGAAGGCAGUGCUGAUACACCAGGAGGAAAACACCAGGCAGAAGGAAAACACCAGGCAGAAGGGAUUUUAGAGGCUGGCAACUCCAACAUCUGUAAAAUAGACUGGCAAUCUGGAGACCAGGGAAGAGAUGAAGUUGCAGCUGGAGUCUGAAGACAGUCUAGAUGCAGAAUCCCCUCUGCUUGGAGGGACCUCAAUGUGUUCUCUUAAGGCCUUCAACUAAUUGGAUGAGAUCCAGCCACAUUAUGGAGAGGAAUCUGCUUUACUGAAAUUAGCUCUGAAGAGUGUUGGAGGACAAAUUUAACUUCAGCAUUGGAGAUGAAAAAUGAACCAGAAAAUGUGUUCAGAAGCCGAUGAAGACACUAGAAAGGGUGUUUUUUGGAUAAACAUCCAAAAGUGGAAUUGCUGAACCGUAAGGAUGUUCUAUGUCCAAUUUUUUGAGGAACCUCCAUACUUUUCACAGCAGCUGCCUCAUUUUGAAUUCCUACCAAUAGUGAGUAAG